AGAAUGGCCUCUGCAGGAGUGCCUCGCCAGAGCAGGAGAUGCAGCGGGCCUGGGACGGUUUUUGGCACCGGAUCGAUCCACUGGUGCCUGUCGGCGUCGCCUAGGGUGCAGCCGGUGGCGACGGCGCACUCCGCCCGGCUUCCUCCCGUCGAUGGCGCGACGACCCACUGCUCCAGUGGCUGCGGUGGCUCGUGCUCCUCCUCGCCGCGUCUCCUCCGUGUGCGGCGCCGACGGACUGACCGCUGCCUUGCCGCAUCUCUCCCUCCACUCUUUUCUUCUCCUCCCCUGGCACUCUCUCACUUUCCUCUCUAUCUCUCUCUCUCACAGAGGAAACUGCCGGCCGCCGCAGUGAGCUCGUCGGAUCCACAGCCCCAUGCCGCCUAGCGACCAGAUCCGCCCGGAUGUGUCCAUGUACGGACAACGCGAGUGCGGCGAGCUCGGCAGGGAGAGCAGCGGCGACGAGCUCGGUGGCGGGAGAAGAACGACGAGGAGGGGAGGAGGGGAACACAGCGUCGGAGGAACGAAGGAGAGGGGCGUGAGCGCGAGGGGGCGACGGGGGCGGAGGCGA
rnacentral:rRNA from 1 species